GGGGGCGUAGCUCAGCGGUAGAGCAGCGGCCUUUUAAGCCGCGUGUCCUGGGUUCGAUCCCCAGCGCCCUCACCA
rnacentral:tRNA from 11 species